rnacentral:rRNA from 1 species
AUGGGAUAUGGUUUCCAUUCUUUUUUGGGAACUAUCAGUAGAAGAUUGUGUUGGUGGGCUGCACUACACCGGUGCAAAUUAUCAUGUUCAUGUUUCCUGCUCAUCAUCUAUUUUACACAAUCAUACGUAUAUCCGGUGGACGCAUUCUCCUCGCCCUGUGACGUGUGCGGAACAGGAGAGAGGAAAGGGACGGCAGCAGGGAAGGGGCAGGGCAAAGAAAAAGAGAAGGAAAGAGGAGCUGCGGCACCAAAAAACAAAAGCUUGAUGAGAAGAUGCCAACAACCACCAGUCCAGUCCAGUCCACCAUCACUUUGCUUUGCAGACAAUCUCUCUUCUCUUCUCUUUCUCCAGUCCCUCCCCGAAAGAUCCCCAUCAUCAGCCAGCGCCAUCAUCUGA